UACAGAGGGUGCGAGCGUUAAUCGGAAUUACUGGGCGUAAAGCGUGCGUAGGUGGUUUUUUAAGCUGGAUGUGAAAGCCCCGGGCUUAACCUGGGAACUGCAUUCAGGACUGGGAAACUCGAGUCUGGGAGAGGGUGGUGGAAUUUCCGGUGUAGCGGUGAAAUGCGUAGAGAUGCGGAGGAACACCGAUGGCGAAGGCAGCCCCCUGGGAUAACACUGACGCUCAUGCACGAAAGCGUGGGGAGCAAACAGGAUUAGAAACCCUAGUAGU
rnacentral:rRNA from 1 species